GCCAAAUGAAAAUAUAACACCUGAAAUGACUUUGUAUUACCUUGCAUUACUUAAACAUUAAGCAAGCCAACUAUAACUGUAAGCUUGUAAUGAACACGAUGUGAGACAGAGAGCUGGUUUCAAGCGCAGGGCGCUGCAGGUGUUUAUUGGAAAAGGACCACAGGAGGCAGGCAGAAGGUCAUACACAGGAGGAGGCAGGUAGCUGGGUCCAGGGGCAGGCAGAAGGUCAUACACAGGAGGAGGCAGGUAGCUGGGUCCAGGGGCAGGCAGAAGGUCAUACACAGGAGGAGGCAGGUAGCUGGGUCCAGGGGCAGGCAGAAGGUCAUACACAGGAGGAGGCAGGUAGCUGGGUCCAGGGGCAGGCAGAAGGUCAUACACAGGAGGAGGCAGGUAGCUGGGUCCAGGGGCAGGCAGAAGGUCAUACACAGGAGGAGACAGGUAGCUGGGUCCAGGAGCAGGCAGAAGGUCAUACACAGGAGGAGGAAGGUAGCUGGGUCCAGGGGCAGGCAGAAGGUCAUACACAGGGGGCCAAAAAAAGGCUACAGUACAGGCAGGGAAAGGCUAGUAACGUCAUCCGGGAGAUCAUGCAAUAGGUUGAUAACAGGAAAUCCGAUAGGCUGAAGUACCGGCAGGGAAGAGGCAAAAGGCGUCGUUAGCGAGGCAGGCCAAAACUAUCCUACACAGGAGGAUUAAAUUAUGGGAAAAGCAGCGCUCCAAAUAGAA
ensembl:lncRNA